rnacentral:rRNA from 1 species
AUGAGGUAUGCUGAUACACAAAAACAAUGCACACUUUCUGGCUUCAAAAAAAGCAUGAUGCUUGCUAUACAAAGGAUGGAAGCCCAUCUUGGCCCUACAUCAAGGUUGUACCUUUCGUUCAUGCGCAAGGUGGGCAAGAGGAUAGAUGCAAUGGAAGAAGAUACAUUUAUGGUUGCAGCUGCUGUCCUUGACCCAUAUACACAUUACAAGCUGAACCUUUGCAACCACACAGAUUAUGCCACUUCACUAACAGAUGCGAUAGCGAAGAUAUUAGACCCAGUGAGUGCUCUUUCAGCCAUUGAUGAAGUGAGCAAGUUCAGGGAGUGCCAAGGGAGGUUUGGGACCAGAUUGGCAGAAGAAGCUGCGGCGAGAAUGGGGCCAACCCAAUGGUGGUUUCAGUUUGGAGGGGAUGUUCCUGCAUUGCAGAAAUGUGCAAUGAGAAUUUGCUCACAAUGUGUCUCCUCUAGUGGGUGUGAGAGAAAUUGGAGCGCUUUUGCUUUGGUGCACACAAAGCAAAGAAGUCGUCUUCUAUAUGACAAGCUCCACAAGCUAGUUUCUGUACGCUACAACUUAAAGGUAUAA